UCUGUGGGGGCAAGGGCUUAGUUAGUACUAGGAUGCGACGAUAAGCCAGAAGGGCGCAAGGCCAAAGCCUGGGGGACCAAAGACGGCAGCUAGGGGGCAAUUCAGGAAUCCCACCGCUUUCUAGGCACAGUGGGAAGAGCGCCUCCUUUGAUCAGAAGAUACCUGUGCUGCCCUGGGGGAUGGAUCUCCAUGAACACCUCAGCCCCUGCCCGGCACUGGGAACCCCGCCUGUGCCCCUUACUCACCCAGGCUCUGGAUCUGCACAGGCUGGAGGUCCUCGUGGCCCGUCAGCAGGAAUUCCCGCAGGGCACUUGAGACUGAGGGGAAACACGCAUGAUAAUUAAGCUCCAACAGCAAGCAGAGACCAGGACUGUCACGGGCCGUGUGCUGGUCCUCCCCACGGUCCACCCUCACUCCAGGACAAAGGAACAGACACCUCUGUCUGAUGUGGUCACCAGCUCCAUCGGACAGCACAGCCAGCACCAGGAGCCCAGCCUUGCGCUGGUACGGUCUCUCACUCCGCAAGGCCUCUUCCAGCAUAGGCAUCUAGGGGAACGGAUGGUACGCCCCUGAAACCCUGGUCCAAGUCUGCCCAUUCCCACAGCAACUGGCCCUCCACACCUGCUAGGGCCCAAAUAUCCUCAGUGGUGGGAAACUAGGCAUACCAGGAGACAGGGGCACCAGAAGGACAGAGAACACUUACCAGCAAGGGACAGAGCUUCUCGGGGGGCAAAUGUAGUGCCAGCAUGUCUACGACCUGAAAAAAUGACAGGAAGACUUUGCUGGAACCCAUCUCUGCCCCAUAGCGACCUAAUGCCCUGCCCCUACCCCUGUCGUACAUCCCACCUGUACAGCAAAGUGCUUGGGGGUCUCUCCCACCAGCCCAAUCUCCAGCUCUUCCUCUUCCGAAUCCUGGUCCUCAGGAUCCAGCUGGCCCAGGGCAGGCUCGGCAGCCAUAAUGGGGAAAAGGGUAUGUAGUAAGGGUGGCAAGAGACGAUUCUUCAGUAAGGCCUUGAGAGGGAAGGUGGAACCGUGUCCCUGAGAAUCUGCUCCUGAGAUGGACUCAUAUUAAAAAUUCCAGCCUUGGGAGCCUCUGUUGGUUAA